UACGUAGGGGGCUAGCGUUGUCCGGAAUCAUUGGGCGUAAAGCGCGCGUAGGCGGCCAGGUAAGUCCGGUGUGAAAGUCACAGGCUCAACCUGUGAAUGCCGCUGGAAACUGUCUGGCUAGAGUCCGGAAGAGGCGAGUGGAAUUCCUGGUGUAGCGGUGAAAUGGCGCAGAUAUCAGGAGGAACACCAAUUGCGAAGGCAGCUCGCUGGGACGUUACUGACGCUGAGACGCGAAAGCGUGGGGAGCAAACAGG
rnacentral:rRNA from 1 species